UUCCAAGAUGGCUGUCCUAGUGGCGUGUGACAAAUGGCGGGAGUUGCUGUCAAUCCUGAAAUCCCAGCUCCCAGACAGUGCUACUAUAUAUGGCCAAUUAAAGACUUCUGUGAGCGGUGAAUGGCCAUACUACUCCUUUUGGGUUGACCAAUGGCCGAGAGUUACCGCGGUGGUAGCCACGCCCAUGUCCGACGUUAUGGAUUCCUUCAGCGGGAGGUUUCACGUUAUCCACGGACAGGAAGCGGAAGUUGUUUCCAGGCUUCUUCAACAUCCGGGCGUCCUGGACAGGAAGCGGGCGAUGACCUUCGACUUACCUCCCCAUCUUCUGCCCGCCCUUCGCCAUUUGUCCGCUGGGGAGAGAGGUGCCAUUACUACCGACGAAACCGGCAACGUGAACACUGUCGACGAGGGAGGCCUAAUUACCGUGUAUGUGCUCGUAUAGCGGAGAAACGGUGUUGUAGGCGUACGUUGGCUGGUCAUUAAGGCAGGGCUUCACUACAGAAAUAUGCUAUUCCUCAACUUGUGCUUUUGUCUUUGUCCGUCCUGUCCCAGACAACAUGGCCGUGGGUCACGUGACUCGUGAUGACGUCACAUCCGUAUGCGCCACUUGGGAAUACAGUGAACCUGGGGUAACCUCUCUUCGUACAGAGGCUUGUGGAAAUCAGUCUACCGAGUGUAUGCGUGCGCACAUCAGACAACCAGCAGCAAGUUGCGCACGCACUUGUCCAGCCUCAUCAAAUGGUCGGCAUGUUGUACGUCGACGUCAACUUCCGGCGUCGCGGCUUGGGUCGAUUUGUUGUCAGUCAUUUGGCAAAACAGAUCUUGAUGACGUCACCGAUAGCAGCGGCCAAAUCAGAACACUCCAAUUACGCGUCGCAAGCACUGAUGAAAAGUCUGGGGUUUGAAUCUCGUUGUAAAUACGUGAUUGUUUCAUUCACUCCAAAUGAACAGUCCUGAGUGCUUUGAUGUAAGCUGUGCUUAAUUUUACAGCAAUAACAAUAACAAGCAUGGGCUGCAGAAGACCAGUUCUAACCCGGAUCUUCACGGGUAUCCCGCUGAUGUAUUGCGAGGAUCGAUGCUCAUGAUAUCUAUCACUGGAUUGUCUGGUCCAGAGGUGAUUAUUAAUGACUGCCGUCAUAUAGCUGGAAUAUUGCGGCGUUAAACAAACAAACAAACAGUCAUGAAAAUGCUGGAAAUCAUUUGUGCUUUUUUCAUAUAUUGUUGCUUUUAUGUUUAUGCUGUUGCCUGUAUUCAUUGUAUAUUGAUAAUUUGACACUAUUGACAGAAAAUAAAGCUGAUUUUACAAGAAA